GAUGAACGCUGGCGGCGUGCUUAACACAUGCAAGUCGAACGAUGAAGCCCAGCUUGCUGGGUGGAUUAGUGGCGAACGGGUGAGUAACACGUGAGUAACCUGCCCUUGACUCUGGGAUAAGCCUGGGAAACUGGGUCUAAUACUGGAUAUGACUUCUCAUCGCAUGGUGGGGGGUGGAAAGAUUUAUUGGUCUUGGAUGGACUCGCGGCCUAUCAGCUUGUUGGUGAGGUAAUGGCUCACCAAGGCGACGACGGGUAGCCGGCCUGAGAGGGUGACCGGCCACACUGGGACUGAGACACGGCCCAGACUCCUACGGGAGGCAGCAGUGGGGAAUAUUGCACAAUGGGCGCAAGCCUGAUGCAGCGACGCCGCGUGAGGGAUGACGGCCUUCGGGUUGUAAACCUCUUUCAGUAGGGAAGAAGCGAGAGUGACGGUACCUGCAGAAGAAGCGCCGGCUAACUACGU
rnacentral:rRNA from 1 species